UACGUAGGGUGCGAGCGUUAAUCGGAAUUACUGGGCGUAAAGCGUGCGCAGGCGGUCCUCUAAGUUUGGUGUGAAAUCUCCCGGCUCAACCGGGAGGGUGCGCCGAAAACUGGAGGGCUCGAGUGUGGGAGAGGUAAGCGGAAUUCCUGGUGUAGCGGUGAAAUGCGUAGAUAUCAGGAGGAACACCUGUGGUGUAGACGGCUUACUGGACCAUUACUGACGCUGAGGCACGAAAGCGUGGGUAGCAAACAGG
rnacentral:rRNA from 1 species